rnacentral:rRNA from 1 species
AUGAACAUUCACCUCCUGACGCGUUGGCUCUGGCGGAUAGCCAAUGGCGAGGGUGGGCUAUGGCUCCAAAUCAUCCGGAACAAGUACCUGCGCGGCCAACCGCUGGCCUUCUACCAGCGGGCGGGAGGCUCCUAGUUCUGGCAGCCCAUCAUUCAGUUGCUCCCGGUCCUCUGCAUUGGGAGUUCCAUCACUGUUGGAUCGGGAACAUCCACCUUAUUUUGGUUUGAUAGAUGGGCUGGGGAGACACCCUUUGCGGGACGUUUCCCGGACUUGUUCGCCGUUGCUGUGGACCGACGGGUCUCCAUGGAGGUGGCCCUUAUUGACUUAGGGCGCCUCGCAUUCAGGCGGCCGUUUGGGCCCCCGGAAAUAAUAGCCUGGCACGAGCUCUUGAAUGCCGUCGCGAUCCACGAGCCGGAUCUCGAGCUGACCCACGAUCGCCUAUCCUGGCACUUAGAGCCCUCGGGCACCUUCUCCACCAAGUCCCUGUACCAGGCCAUCGCGGCCAUUCCCUGGCCUGAGCCACUGGUGGCGAUCUGGUCAAUCAGACUCCCUUUGAAGAUCAGGAUCUUCCUUUGGCAAUGGUUCCGCGGACGUAUACCUUCCGGUGUGGAGGUGUUAAAAUGGAAUGGCCCGGGAGACGGGAUGUGCCCUUUGUGCGGGACCGUAGAAGACUCCAACCACAUCUUCUUCUCCUGCGUCUCCACCCAGUUCCUCUGGAGCUGCCUCCACGAGGUAGUAGGUGGUUGUUGGUGUAAUAUCAACUUCCCGGACCUCUUCGCCGAGAUCCAAGCAUCGCCCACAUCUGGCCGUCACAUUAGGUGGCUCGCUAUUGGGGUCCUUGCCUAG